UACGUAGGGUGCGAGCGUUGUCCGGCCUUAUGGGGCGUAAAGGGCUUGUCGGUGGUUUGUCGCGUUGUUCGUGAAAACUCAAGGCUUAACUUUGGGCGUGCGGGCGAUACGGGCAGACUGGAGUACUGCAGGCGAGACUGGAAUUCCUGGUGUAGCGGUGGAAUGCGCAGAUAUCAGGAGGAACACCGGUGGGGGAGGCGGGUCUCUGUGCAGUAACUGAAGCUGAGGAGCGAACGCGUGGGGAGCGAACAGG
rnacentral:rRNA from 1 species